rnacentral:rRNA from 1 species
UACGUAGGGGGCUAGCGUUGUCCGGAAUCAUUGGGCGUAAAGAGCGUGUAGGCGGCCCGGUAAGUCCGCUGUGAAAGUCGGGGGCUCAACCCUCGAAUGCCGGUGGAUACUGUCGGGCUAGAGUGCGGAAGAGGCGAGUGGAAUUCCUGGUGUAGCGGUGAAAUGUGUAGAGAUCGGGAGGAACACCGGUGGCGAAGGCGGGUCUCUGGGCAAUUCCUGACGCUGAGGCGCGAAAGCGUGGGGAGCAAACGGG